GCCACAUUCUAUCCCCAGGGAGGGAGCUCAUAAAUAUUCACAUGUACUUGAGAGGGAGGGAGGCAGCAAGCCUGCUGUUGGGUGUCAUUGGAGAAUUCCCAUCUCCCAGUGACUGCAGAGGCAGCCUGGGAUUCGGAUGUGGUUCAGGCUGGGAAAAGAAAGGGAAGCCAGUCAUAACUUGAGAACCUGGAAGGAAGCGCCCCGCCUCCAUCCCAGGCUCCUAGGGCAGAGAAGCUCAGCCGGUCCCAGCACCCAGAAGGAAGCUCCCCCACUGCCAUCCCAAGCUCCUAGGCCAGAGAAGGUGAGCCGAGUGGGUGCCAGAAGCACACCCCCGUCCCGCCCCCCGUGGAAAUGAGAAAACACAUAAACAAGCCUCAAAAACAGACUUCCGGAUCACCUACAGCAACCCCAAAGGGAAACAAGGUGGAACAAUCUGAUACUUAACCACCUGGACUCUCUAAACUGUCAACAAAAGAGGAUCUGGGAAAAAUGAAAUCAGAAAUAAUUACUCAGCUAACAGCAAAGAUUUUGCUCAUGGUGCAAGACAUGAUUAAUAAAUCUAGAGAGGACACAGAUAAAAAAAUAGAGGAUCUGAGGAACAUGAUGGAAUCCCAACAUAGGAAACCCGAAAUCCAUAAAACAGAUACAAACAGAUUUCCAAGAGAUUAAAAACUCCAUCAAAAGUCUGCACAGCAGAAUGAACCGAUGUGAGGAUAGAAUUUCACAUAUAGAAGAUGAGAUUGCAAUUAGUGAGGAGGAAAAGAAAAAUUGCCUUAAAAAUUUUAAGGGAACACAAGAAAUCAAUCCAGCAGCUGCUAGACGAUGCAAAGAAGAAUAACAUAAGACUGACUGGAGUCAAUGAAGAAAGAGGAGAGAGUGCAGAUGACAUAAAAAAAUCUGUUCACAGAAGCGACAUCAGAAAACUUCCCAAGGAGGGGAAAAGAACUUGACAUACAGAUAAGUGAGGCAUAUAGGACUCCAGCUAGCCUUAAUUAAAAAAAAAA
rnacentral:lncRNA from 1 species